UAAAUUGUUCAUUAAUUGUGAACUAGAAUGAAGGAAAAAAUGGUUUAAAUCUGUCUUAAAAUUUAUAUAUUGAAAUUCACUUUUUUGUUAAAAUGCAAAAAUUUAAUUUAGGGACAAGAAGACCCUAUAAAGCUUUAUUAUUUCUUAAUAAUAUAUUCUAUUAAUUAUAUAAUUUUGUUGGGGCAAUGAUUUAUAUAUAAUCAAUAUAAAUUAAAAUAUUAUAUUAAUUUAUAAUUUAAAGAUCCAUUAAUAAUGAAAAAUGUUUAAGUUACUUUAGGGAUAACAGGAUAAUAUUUAUUAGAAAGUUCUUAUUAAUAAUAAAGUUUAUUACCUCGAUGUUGAAUUAAUUUAAUGAAAUGGUGAAGCAACUAUUUAGGUUUGACUGUUCGUCAAUUAGAUAAUUACAUGAUCUGAGUUC
rnacentral:rRNA from 1 species